GCUGCUGUACGCGUAAGCUGGUAACGCGCGCCCUCCUUGCAAAAGGGGGCCGGUAUCUGGGUUCAAAUCCCGGCGGCAACG
rnacentral:tRNA from 1 species